ensembl:snRNA U2 U2 spliceosomal RNA
AACACUUCUCAGUCUUUUGGCUGAGAUCUAAAUGGCGUCUAUCUUUUCUUGUCAAUUUAAUAUGUGACACGUCCUCUAUCUCAGGACAAGAUAUAAAAUGGAUUUUUGGAGCAGGGAGAUGGAAUCAGAGCUCCAUCUACUCCAUGCAUCCAUCUGGUAUUUCAGUCCCUCUAGGAAUGGUGUACCCUAC